rnacentral:rRNA from 1 species
GAUCCUGGCUCAGGAUGAACGCUGGCGGCGUGCCUAACACAUGCAAGUCGAGCGAAGCGAUUAGAAUGAGACUUCGGUGGAAUUUUGAUUGACUGAGCGGGCGGACGGGUGAAGGUAACGCGUGGAAAACCUGCCUCAUACAGGGGGAUAACAGUUAGAAAUGACUGCUAAUACCGCAUAAGCGCACAGCACCGCAUGGUGCAGUGUGAAAAACUCCGGU